CCCUUUGCAAGCGGCCCGACGGCGCCUAUAUCAGAGAUGUUCCUCAGGGAACUAUGGGCAUAAACGCGCAUGUAAUAAACGGAUCGGACCCGGGGGCGGUACCCGGCGGCUCCACCAAACAUCCCUUCGUUGGGGGAAAAUGGGGCCGAAACAGGAUCGACGAACGCGUAAAGAUGUAGCUUUGUCCCGGUGAGAUACCACCGUUAUCGGUUCACAAAGUACAAUUGCCAACGACAAUCGUGCUCCGGUUGCAGUUGCUGCGUAAGCAGUGACGAGACCGAAAUCUAAGUCCUUGCGCCUAGCAGCGUAAGGCGGGGUUCGCAGGCACCUGGCAACAGAAGCCUGCACU
rnacentral:tmRNA from 1 species